AUUGAACGCUGGCGGCAUGCCUUACACAUGCAAGUCGAACGAGACCUUCGGGUCUAGUGGCGCACGGGUGCGUAACACGUGGGAAUUUGCCUCGGGGUAUGGAAUAACUCAGGGAAACUUGAGCUAAUACCGGAUGAUGUCUUCGGACCAAAGAUUUAUCGGCAAAGGAUGAGCCCGCGUAGGAUUAGGUAGUUGGUGGGGUAAAGCCUACCAAGCCGACGAUCCUUAGCUGGUCUGAGAGGAUGAUCAGCCACACUGGGACUGAGACACGGCCCAGACUCCUACGGGAGGCAGCAGUGAGGAAUAUUGGACAAUGGGCGAAAGCCUGAUCCAGCAAUGCCGCGUGAGUGAUGAAGGCCUUC
rnacentral:rRNA from 1 species